GCAGUCGAGCGGCAGCGCGGGGCACCUGGCGGCGAGCGGCGAACGGGUGAGUAAUGCAUCGGAACAUGUCCAUGUGUGGGGGAUAGCCCGGCGAAAGCCGGAUUAAUACCGCAUACGCCCGAGAGGGGAAAGCCGGGGACCGCAAGGCCUGGCGCGAUUGGGUUGGCCGAUGUCCGAUUAGCUAGUUGGCGGGGUAAAGGCCCACCAAGGCGAUGAUCGGUAGCUGGUCUGAGAGGAUGAUCAGCCACACUGGGACUGAGACACGGCCCAGACUCCUACGGGAGGCAGCAGUGGGGAAUUUUGGACAAUGGGGGAAACCCUGAUCCAGCCAUUCCGCGUGAGUGAAGAAGGCCUUCGGGUUGUAAAGCUCUUUUGUCCGGAGCGAAACGGAUGACGUGAAUAUCGUCGUCUACUGACGGUACCGGAAGAAUAAGCACCGGCUAACUACGUGCCAGCAGCCGCGGUAAUACGUAGGGUGCGAGCGUUAAUCGGAAUUACUGGGCGUAAAGCGUGCGCACGCGGUUUUGUAAGCCAGAUGUGAAAGCCCCGGGCUC
rnacentral:rRNA from 1 species